AUGGCAGAAUGCUUCAAUAAGGUGCUCAAGGGUGUACGUGCAUUACCCGUGACGGCAAUAGUUCAAUACACAUUUGACAAGAUGAAUGGAUACUUUUUAAAGUACUCAAUGGAGACGGAUAAGCAGAUUGCUGGUGAGAACAAGGAUAAGCACAAGUACUAUUUCCCACCAAAGGUUGAAGAAUGGUUGGACUUUCAAUCACGAAAGGCAGACUCCCAAGAAGCUGUACUAUAUGACGACAACGAGUGGAAGUAUGAGGUCAAAGAGCCUGGAGGAACCACAAACGAUGGCCACCAACACGGAGACCGCGCUUUCAAGGUCUCCCUAACACGGUGUGAUUGCAGCUGCAUGAGGCCAUCGUUGCUUCAUCUCCCAUGCUCGCACUUGUUAAACGCAUCCCGUGUUAGGAAUGUGGACGUCAAUCACCCUCUUACCGUGAGGGAGUCCGAGUUCUCAAUCAUGACGGUAAACAAUACAUGGGCUCCCCGGUUUCAGCCAUACUUGGACCAAUCACAAUGGCCGGAGUAUCAUGGAGUUCAACUAUGGCCGGACCCG
rnacentral:rRNA from 1 species